rnacentral:rRNA from 1 species
CCUACGUGGGGCAGCAGUGGGGGAUAUUGCACAAUGGAGGAAACUCUGAUGCAGCAACGCCGCGUGAAGGAGGAAGGCCUUCGGGUCGUAAACUUCUGUCCUCAGGGAAGAAAAGAAUGACGGUACCUGAGGAGGAAGCCCCGGCUAACUACGUGCCAGCAGCCGCGGUAACACGUAGGGGGCGAGCGUUAUCCGGAAUUACUGGGCGUAAAGAGUGCGUAGGUGGCUAAGCAAGCGCGGGGUUUAAUUUCACGGCCCAACCGUGAACCGCCCUGCGAACUGUCUAGCUUGAGUACAGGAGAGGAAGGCGGAAUUCCUAGUGUAGCGGUGAAAUGCGUAGAUAUUAGGAGGAACACCGGUGGCGAAGGCGGCCUUCUGGACUGAAACUGACACUGAGGCACGAAAGCGUGGGUAGCAAACAGGAUUAGAUACCCUAGUAGUC